rnacentral:rRNA from 1 species
AUGCAGAGCAUAAAACGCUUGCCCAAAAGCGUCCACAGCUCCUUGCGCUCAAGCAUUAUCUUGUCUGACCUCCCAAGGGUUGUCGAGGAGUUGGUAUAUAAUAGCAUCGAUGCAAAUGCCAGAAAGAUCGACGUUUCAGUAAAUGUCAGAGCAUGUUAUGUUAAAGUGGAAGAUGAUGGUUGUGGUAUUGCUCGAGAUGAAUUGGUUCUAUUAGGAGAAAAAUAUGCAACAUCCAAGUUUCCUGAUGUCAUGGGUGAUGCGGAAUCUAGUUCUAGAAGUUUUGGAUUAAAUGGUGAAGCGCUCGCAUCACUUUCUGAUAUCUCUGUGGUUGAAGUCAGGACGAAGGCUCGUGGGAGGCCAAAUUCGUACUGCAAGAUAAUAAAGGGAUCCAAAUGCUCACAUUUAGGAAUAGAUGACCAGAGGGAAGCUGUUGGUACAACAGUUGUUGCUCGGGAGCUUUUUUAUAACCAGCCUGUGCGGAGAAAACAAAUGCAAUCUGGUUAUAAAAGAGAACUGCACAAUGUGAAGAAGUGUGUCCUGCGAAUUGCACUUAUUCAUCCACAGCUUUCAGUCAGACUUCUUGACACUGACAGCGAAGAUCAGUUGCUAUACACAGUUCCUUCAUCAUCCCCUUUGCCUCUUAUAUCAGACAGUUUUGGAAAUGAUGUCUCCAGUUGCCUUCAUGAAAUAUCUACCUCACAUCAAAGCUGGGCUCUUUCAGGGCACAUCUCUGGACCAACAAAUGUGUUCUGUAAUAAGGAUUUCCAGUACUUGUAUAUCAACUCAAGAUUCGUCAGUAGAAGCCCAAUCCAUAAUAUUCUGAAUAGUCUGGCAGCUAGUUUCCAGUCUUCUAUUACAAGGACGAUUGAAGAAACCGAUAUUCAGAGCCGAAAGAGGCAGAAGACUAAUGUCUACCCUGCAUUUUUGCUGAACUUCUUCUGCCCUAGAUCUAGCUAUGAUCUACAUUUUGAGCCUUCAAAGACUAUUGUGGAAUUCAAGGAUUGGCAAAGUAUCUUGUUUUUCUUUGAACAAACUAUCACAAACUACUGGAAGAAGCAUGUACCACAAUCAUCAAAAGGCAAAGCUAUUGACGAUACCUGUGUUCCUCUGAAAAGUGAUGUGAAGUUGAAUAGGGCCUUCCUAAAGCAUCAAAAUGUACAGAACAAGGAAGAUGAUGCUGAUUUACAGGAUCACACUCCACGUAAGAGUUCAGUCAGAGAAAGCAAUUUUGGUACAGGUGCAGCAACAGCUCCUAAAGACCUGGACUACUUUUCUUUUGAUAUGAAACCACCCCCAUGGCAUGUCUGUUAUCCAGAUCGAAUCAGCGAUGCAUCUGAACACUCUGACAAUGUUGCUAGGAACGAUCUUACACAUUUUCCUAAAAGGGUCAGUUAUCAGUGGUUGGAGGAUGGUUCCUCCGAGCUAGAAGACUGUAGUCUUUCAGGUGCUAACCCAACUGUUUGGAAAAAGCGACGGAUGGAAGGUAUAUUCCAUGGGCAUGCAUAUUCCUGUGAAGUUGGAAAUUUUGAAGACGUGCAAACUGAAGGCCUUUCAGCUGAUAACCAAGAGUCUGAGAUAAUGGGUCCAGAAAUUGAUCUCCAAGAACCUUGCUUUGGGGUUGUCAAUAGACCCAACAGAAUUACCUGUGAUUUUAUGCAUAAUGAAACUAAUAUAAAUGGAAACAUGUCUGGCUGUGAUGGAUUAUAUACUGAAUUUGAUAGAUUCGAUGAUGAUUGCCUACUCAAUGAAGUCACAGAGACAAUGGGUGAUAUUUCUUGCCCUGAGAUGCCCCACUUCAGUGAUGAAUUCUACCAUGAAGGUUGUAGUACCCCCAUUAUCUUGAAAAGGUGCAGUACAAGAAAGCAGUUGGGGACUGCAGCAGGAUAUGUUGACGGCCUUGAAACUAAUGCAAUUGCUCAGAUGAACUUCCCUGAUAUCCGUGCAGCGUGGGAAAGUGACGUCAUGGAUAUGUCCUCCAUCAAAGAUAACCAUCUUCAUUUAUCUCAUUCAUUCUUGUUACCUGAUACACCUAGCAGUCAAAGUCAUGCAAGGACUGGCUUGGAAUUGCAGGGGAGAUCAAGUAAAAGGUUUGCUUCUUGGAACUGUGAAAAUAUGGACAGUGAUUUUAGAUCUACUUGGGACAGAUUCACCAGUAAUUCGUCAAGAAUAUGUGAAGGAUCUAAACAUUUCAAUAACUUAGAUGAUGAACCUCAGUCACUGAAUUACCUCAAUCAUGUCGAUCAGUUUGUUUCUGAAGAUGAUGAGAUACCGUGGAAAUCAAAAAUCAGUGCACCAUUGUCACACAUUAUUUCUCCCGAGAAAAGUACCAACGGUUACCAGUUGAAUGGCUCUUCUUCCCACCUGGCAAACAACAGUGUGCUUAUUAAAGAUCUACCUAAUCAAGACAAUUUUGGAUGCGACAGGAGAUCCAGGUUUUCCAAGGGUAGAUCUAGGAGCUGUUCUGCCCCACCAUUUUACAAAGGCAAACGAAAAUUCCCUGGAUUAAAUCAUCCUCAGACUAAAUUGACAGCAGACGGUGAUAAAGAUAUCCCCAUUAAGGACUCAGAAGAAACUGCACCUGCACCAGAGAAUAUCUCAAAUAUGAGUGCAACCCAGCCUAUUCCUGAGACUUGCAGCAGUGAAUUUUCUGGCCUAAAUUUCAGCUUGAAGGGAAACGUGAAAAUGCAUGAAGAGACAUGUUCUGAUGGGCUUGAAAAUUUUACUGCUCAAAUAACUAAAUGGCGGGAUGACUCUGACCAGCAUACAGCUUUGGAGUCGCCACAUAUUCCUUCCGCAUGCUACGACGAUAUACUUAACAUUUCUUCUGGGCCUUUACAUCUCUCUUCUAGCUCGCUAGUUCCUGAGUGUAUUGAUAAAAAUUGCUUUGAGGAGGCAAGAGUUUUGUUGCAGCUGGAUAAGAAAUUUAUUCCCGUCAUAUCUGGGGAAAUGCUACUCCUUGUUGAUCAGCAUGCAGCUGAUGAAAGGAUACGUUUGGAGGAGCUCCGUAGCAAGGUUUUAUCAGAUGAAGACCGACGUAUCACUUACUUGGACUCAGAGAAGGAAAUGGCUCUCCCUGAGGCUGGAUUUCAAUUGUUCCAGAAGUAUGCUGAUCAGAUUCAGAAAUGGGGCUGGAUUAUCAACAAUUCCAGCACUUCCUCUCAUUCAUUCAAAAAGAACAUGAACAUUCUGAGGAAACAAGGCCGUGUAGUUACCCUUGCUGCUGUUCCAUGUAUUUUGGGUGUUGAUUUGACAGGAAAAGAUCUUACGGACUUUAUUCAGCAGCUUGAUGAGAGCGACGGGUCAUCGUCUAUCCCUGCAGCAGUUCUCCGUAUUCUUAAUUACAAAGCUUGCAGAGGGGCAAUCAUGUUUGGCGAUCCCUUGCUACCGUCAGAGUGCUCUCUGAUCAUUGAAGAGCUGAAAGCGACGUCCCUGUGCUUCCAGUGUGCUCACGGGCGUCCGACCACCGUGCCCAUCGUGAACGUGGCGUCCCUCCGCCGCCACUUGGCAAGGCUGGGAGCGCCGAGCGGGAGGAGCGAGGCGGAGGAGCCCUGGCAUGGCCUGUCGCAGCACGAAGCCAGCCUCGAGCGCGCCCGGACCCGCCUCAGACAGCUGAGGAGGCUGCGGCGUGGCACCCUGUAG